UUCAAUUGAACAAGUCGAAGUGUUAAAAAUAUGAAAAUGCUCUUACUUCAUUUUAAACUGUGCUUUGCUAUUGUUCUCUUUCUUUGUAUCGCAUUGGAUAAUAUCCGGGCUUCAUCCAUUGGCGAUGAAAGUAUUGGAUUAGCUGAUCCCAAUAGUACCUUACUCUAUAGUUCAGUAAUUUUUGGUGUAGGGCGGCGCCACCUGGCACUAUAACCCGUCUUUGGCUGAUCCAGUUGCACAUUUUGGUUUUGAAGGCAAUAGAGUACAUCGUGUUGCUCGUUCUGGGUGUGAUCUAUCAGAGUGUAGCGAACAAUGCUCACCGAAACGUGGACAGUGUGUCACAAUCAAUGACUACAUAUAUUGCCGUUGUUUUUAAUUGACGACCCCAAUAUAUGUGAUUGAUCUGAUUUAUUUUCAACCAAUAAAGAAGACACAAGACUAAGAUAUUAUAUUGAAACGUAUGAAAAAUUAACGAUUAUUUCAAAAAUACAAGAUUCGUCACAUGAAAUGCCAAAAAAUGGCUUGAAAUAUUACUAGAGUGUUUCAGUCAUUUCCAUAGGUUUGGCAUGGUGGAACAUUCAGGUGUGAAAACAUGGAAAAAGGGAAAGACAACCAUUAGUAUCAGUUGAACUGGGUAUAACAUACUUUUUUUAAAUUAAAAACUUUACUCACCUACGGGCACUCUCCCUCCGUACAAUGUUGUACUAUUGUACAACUAGACCACAAGACUUUAUAUAGCCUGUUCAUGUCUAGCUACGCUAACUAUAAUAGUUAAAAUAUUUUAUUUUAUGUAAUUUUUUGAAUGUAUGAUUAAUUGAUGAUGUUUGUUAGUUGACAUUGUUGUUUUGGUCCGGCGGUCUUAACAAUGAAACUGGCAAUGGUACAUCAAAGAUCCGGCAAAGUCCUAUGUAAUUUAAAGCAAAUACAUUAAAUAAUGAAUAUUCUGUU